CCCAGGACAGGCAAGCCCCAAGCUUGCCCAUUUGGGCAGAAGGAUCCUCCUCGGAUCAUCACUGACGACCUGAGCCUCCUUUGAAACUAGCACAGUAUGAUCUGAAGAGUGAAAAAAUGUUGAUUGACUGGCACUGCAUGCAAUAAUUUGAAAUGAGCAUAAUCUUUUCAGGGAUUUCAGCUAAUCUGUAAUGUCAGACUUGCCUUGAUACAUUUUCUGCUGUUCUACUGGACCUGCUUCUACUUCUGCAGCUGCAGGGCUUGUCCACAGCACUGUGCUCCCAGUCCUGGAGGAUGCAGUUCUCAUGGGGCAUGCUGCAGCAUGCUGGGUGGUGUCCAGGCCUCCAAGCCCCAGCUGCCUGACAGCGCCCAGGGCAGAGUGUAUCAUCAUAGGCAUCGGUGAAGAGAUGCUGCUGCAACUGCUGUAAUUUAGUAGCAGAACAAAUUUUGUAUUUAACAGCCUUCACCAUUUUUCCUCAUUAACAUCACAGAAAAAUAAUCUGAAGGCUGGGGCCAGACACAGACAAGAUCCCCCACAUGGAUUGAAUGAUUGUGCCAGUGGCUCCAACAGCUGCAGCAGCUAAUGUCCCAGCUUUCAUGUGGAUCUUAAAACCUGGAGAGAGGGCUGCAGAUUUAGCUAUUUCUAUCUGUGUUCCAAUAACUCUUUAUUUUUAGGUCUCACUCUUGCUAGCUUGAAAAAAGAGAAAAGGCUUCAGGAGAACUGCAUUUUGGAAAUGGUUAUAUUUUUAUUUCAAUUUGAAAUCCCUUUGCUAUAGGUUGCUUUCAGAUGUAAAAUUAAUCUUUAUCCAUAAGGUCAAAAAGAGCUGAGGAACAGGAAUGGCUGUUCUGUUUAUCCAUUCAAUCAGUGAAUUUAUUGCAUGUGACAUAAUCCUUUAGGUCUAUGUAAUAUCAGACAUUUCUUUCACAGGGAUGCACUGUUAGGCUGUAGAAGCAAUACAGUUUUCUUUGGGGUAAAAAAUGUUGUUUGACUUGAACCAGAUAUAUGUAUUCUCAAUUUUCAGUGAAGCACAUCUAAAACAGCUUGAAUAAAUUAUCCUUUUAAUACAAUAUUUAAUUUGAAAAUAAACAAACAUAGACACAACGAAAGUGCUUUUUCAAUAACGUUUUGAAUUUGAAAAAAAAUAUAUAUCGGGUAGAAACUAUGAAAAAUGCUUUGCUAAUAACUGCAUUUUUAAAUCAUUUUCAUAGCUGGAAGGUUUUGAAACCAACUCAAAUUUGCAAAACCUUUCCCUAACUCAGGAGCUUCAAAUGGAUUUUUUUCCUCGACUUAAAAAGUUGUCAUUUUAAAAUAUAGAUACAGAGAAAUACGUCUUGGAAGGAAUUAAUAGAAGAGAUUGGUUACAUCUUAGAAAGACGCAUGAUACAAAAGUAUUAUGGUAAGGUAAGGUAUGCUGAAACUACUAGGCAUACCAUACCAUAUUAUGGUAUGGUAUGCCUAGUAGUUUCAGCAGUGUCUGAUUGUCAGUUAAGUAUGAACCAGUAGCCAAGCCACAGAUAACAUUUCUUGCAAGAAAAACAUGAUAUCAUGACAAGGAAAAUGUUUGUUCUGCUAAAUUCUAUGAAGCUCAUUAUGUAACAGGGAAAUUGUGUUUCCCUAGUCUCAAUCAAUGCUAUCGUCUUUAAGGGCCUCCAGUCUUACCCUCAGCAAAGAUUUCAUUGCAAUUAAUCUAUUUAAAGAAAGCCAUUGAGAGUUUUCUUUGUUUUAGGUCUUCAGAAAGAGGCCUUAAGGCAGCUCUGAGAGCCAAAGGAUAAUGACUUCUCUACACAGUAGCAUAAUUUUAAUUAUAGUAUAAUUAAACCAAAUGCUGAAGCCAUAUCUGAGAACUGUGAUAGAUAGCUGAAUCAGGAGGUUCUCAAACAUUUUAAACUGCAGAUCAAAAGUUAGGGUAGAAUUUUGAGCUCAGGUCUGCACUACCAUAUGUGUAGCUGCACUGUCUGCUGACGGAAUCUGCAUGUGGAACAACUGCCUUGAGAUUCUAGCCUUACUUUUGCAGAACACUGAGUAGUCAAAAAAUCUCAUUAAACUUGUGAUGAUUUCUUGAAGCAGCAAGUGAGCAACACACUAUUAAUGAGUGCUCGAAACUUUGAGCUACCAUAUUUCACCUGCUUACAGCAAAGCUUGCUAAAGUACAUGGAGCCUCAAAGAUCCACCACUGCAAUAUUUUCCACAGGGAUGGCAAAGUCUGUGUGGUCAGAGCUCUUCUGCAUUUGUCAAUUUCUACAUUUUAUAACUGACAUAUAAUCAAAUAUUAAACUAUUAAAAUGACAUUAAACAUAUACCAACUUAGCUAAGACGACUUUAUUAAUAAUGCAAUCACAUUCUGAUUUUCUUCAUUUACAGUCAUUAACAUAAUAUUGAUUAACUAUCUAAAUGAUUACACCUGUUACAAACCCACAGUUGAUAUUCAGAAAUCUUUCCAGACAAAGGCUUGGAUUGAUUUUUCUAAUUUCUAAUAUUUCUUUUAUCUUCUGGAACAAUGUCCUGUACCAUAAAAAAGAUCAUCUGACAGUACAUCAUCAAAUGUACUUUAAAAAGGUAAUUCAAUUAAUAUAUAAGCACAAGUCAACAUUUCAUUCAUUUACAGAAAUAUUUAAUGUUCUUAGAAUCAAUGGACUUCUAAUAGUGAGUAGAAAUAAAUUAUUGCAUCCUUACUGUCAAAGUCAGGUUUUGUAUUCAUCCUCGGUUAAGCCUUUAGCUUAUUUCAGUUUUUAAAUCACACACACUAGAGCUUUAGGGGCCUGCGUCUCUGUGAUUUAUAAUACAAAGGAACAAUUACUUCUGCAGGUAAAAUUGUGCUUUUUGAAAGAGGUAAGAUAAACAGAUGUGCCUAAAGCUUCCUUAGAAAAUCAUAGAGAAAUGGCUGAAUGUAUUAUAAAGAGCAAUAAUAAUAAAAAAAUACAGCCAUCAACUGUCUAAA